UCUUGUUCAUAAGUACUAGUGCCGCAGGAGUGACUAGGUUGGGUUAAAAAUUACCAUAUCUCCUGCUGCUCAAGUGCUUAUCAAUGGGU
rnacentral:pre_miRNA from 1 species